rnacentral:rRNA from 1 species
AUACGGAGGGUGCAAGCGUUAUCCGGAAUCAUUGGGUUUAAAGGGUCCGUAGGCGGACUAUUAAGUCAGAGGUGAAAUCGCACAGCUCAACUGUGGAACUGCCUUUGAUACUGGUAGUCUUGAGUUAUAUGGAAGUAGAUAGAAUGUGUAGUGUAGCGGUGAAAUGCAUAGAUAUUACACAGAAUACCGAUUGCGAAGGCAGUCUACUACGUAUAUACUGACGCUAAGGGACGAAAGCGUGGGGAGCGAACAGGAUUAGAAACCCGGGUAGUCC